rnacentral:lncRNA from 1 species
UAACAAGAAAACGCUGCCUGGUAUAGACAAAGCCCUGGGUUUGAUCCCCAGCCUCAGAGAAGUUAAAACUUACCAAGAAGGAAGUUAGUAGAUACAUUUAAAUGUUGCCAGGCUUGGCCUGAGGCACUGGUAAUCCUAGCAAUUGAGAGAGCUCAAGGCAGGAGGAACUAAAGGUCAGCUCCAUCUUCUGCUACACAGGAAGCUGGAGCACAGCCCGAGCUACACAUCGCAAAGAAACAAAGGUUGGAGAGAGAGCUCACAGGCUCCACCCCUACAGGAAGAGCUCCAGGCAAUUAGCAACCCCUGAGAGAUGGGGAGACAGAUUCUUCCUCAGGGAUGAACCCUUAAUUGGUAGAAAUGGUCAGCCCCA